rnacentral:rRNA from 1 species
AUGCCCACUUUCGCCCUCUCGGUUCUGCGGGUUCCACCGAAAUUGCUCAAAGAAAUUGAUAAGUGCAGAAGGCGUUUCCUUUGGAAGCAGGAGGAGGAAAUAACUGGGGCCAGCUGCAAGGUGAACUGGCAAACGGUCUGCGCACCAACUGAGAAGGGGGGGCUCGGAAUCCUGGACCUGCAAGGUUUCAGCCGAGCACUUCGGCUACGCUGGCUAUGGAUCGCUUGGAAAGACCCGGACAGACCAUGGGUCGGCACACCACCGUCAUGCGACGACACGGACAGAGCUUUGUUUGCUGCAGCAACAACGGUGACAGUUGGAGAUGGCAAGACGGCGCUCUUCUGGCAAUCUACAUGGAUGGGACCUGGAACCCUAGCCCAGGGCUACCCAACCUUGUUCAAACACUCCCGGCACAAAAACAGGACAGUUUUCCAAGCUCUGCAAAACGAAACAUGGAUCAACGACCUUGAACAUGGGGAUAUCAACCUGGUACUGCCAGACUUCCUGCGGCUGCACUGA